rnacentral:rRNA from 1 species
GAUGAACGCUGGCGGCGUGCCUAAUACAUGCAAGUCGAGCGAACAGACGAGGAGCUUGCUCCUCUGACGUUAGCGGCGGACGGGUGAGUAACACGUGGAUAACCUACCUAUAAGACUGGGAUAACUUCGGGAAACCGGAGCUAAUACCGGAUAACAUGUUGAACCGCAUGGUUCAACAGUGAAAGACGGUUUUGCUGUCACUUAUAGAUGGAUCCGCGCCGCAUUAGCUAGUUGGGAAGGUAACGGCUUACCAAGGCAACGAUGCGUAGCCGACCUGAGAGGCUGAUCGGCCACACUGCAACUGAGAUACGGUCCAGACUCCUACGGGCGGCAGCAGUCGGGAACCUUCCGCAAUGGUCGAAAGCCUGACGGAGCAACGCCGCGUGAGCGAAGAAGGUCUUCGGAUCGUAAAACUCUGUUAUUAGGGACGAACAAAUGUGUAAGUAACUAUGCACGUCUUGACGGUACCUAAUCAGAAAGCCACGGCUAACUACGUG